AUUGAACGCUGGCGGCGUGCUUAACACAUGCAAGUCGAUCGGUAACAGGUGUAGCAAUACAUGCUGACGAGAGGCGGACGGGUGAGUAAUGCUUGGGAAUCUGCCUAUUAGUGGGGGACAACCCGGGAAACGUCGGGCUAAUACCGCAUACGCUCUACGGAGGAAAGCCGGGACCGCAAGGCCUGCGCUAAUAGAUGAGCCCAAGUCGGAUUAGCUAGUUGGUAGGGUAACGGCCUACCAAGGCGACAAUCCGUAGCUGGUCUGAGAGGACGACCAGCCACACCGGAACUGAGACACGGUCCGGACUCCUACGGGAGGCAGCAGUGGGGAAUAUUGGACAAUGGGGGCAACCCUGAUCCAGCGACGCCGCGUGGGUGAAGAAGGCCUGCGGGUUGUAAAGCCC
rnacentral:rRNA from 1 species